UGGGGAAUAUUGCACAAUGGAGGGAACUCUGAUGCAGCGACGCCGCGUGAACGAAGAAGGCUUUCGAGUCGUAAAGUUCUUUUAUAUGGGAAGAUAAUGACGGUACCAUAAGAAAAAGCCCCGGCUAACUACGUGCCAGCAGCCGCGGUAAUACGUAGGGGGCUAGCGUUGUCCGGAAUCACUGGGCGUAAAGGGUUCGCCGGCGGAAAUGCAAGUCAGGUGUAAAAGGCAGUAGCUUAACUACUGUAAGCAUUUGAAACUGCAUAUCUUGAGAAGAGUAGAGGUAAGUGGAAUUUUUAGUGUAGCGGUGAAAUGCGUAGAUAUUAAAAAGAAUACCGGUGGCGAAGGCGACUUACUGGGCUCAUUCUGACGCUGAGGAACGAAAGCGUGGGUAGCAAACAGG
rnacentral:rRNA from 1 species